UGGGGAAUAUUGCACAAUGGGCGCAAGCCUGAUGCAGCCAUGCCGCGUGUAUGAAGAAGGCCUUCGGGUUGUAAAGUACUUUCAGUCGGGAGGAAGGUGGUAAGGUUAAUAACCUUAUCAAUUGACGUUACCGACAGAAGAAGCACCGGCUAACUCCGUGCCAGCAGCCGCGGUAAUACGGAGGGUGCAAGCGUUAAUCGGAAUUACUGGGCGUAAAGCGCACGCAGGCGGUUGAUUGAGUCAGAUGUGAAAUCCCCGGGCUUAACCCGGGAAUUGCAUCUGAGACUGGUCAGCUAGAGUCGUGUAGAGGGGGGUAGAAUUCCAUGUGUAGCGGUGAAAUGCGUAGAGAUGUGGAGGAAUACCGGUGGCGAAGGCGGCCCCCUGGACAAAGACUGACGCUCAGGUGCGAAAGCGUGGGGAGCAAACAGG
rnacentral:rRNA from 1 species